GGAAGUAGAACCGAGGCUUGCUUGGAUCAGGGAGCCCCUGAGAUGGAACCUGUCAUUUCUCUGCUCCGUGGAAGGCUAGUCCCCCAUCUCUGGAUCCUUGGGGGUUCACUCCAACAUCGUUGCAAAUGGAAGAAGAGGCAGGGGGCUCACAUCUUCACUGUCUAUCCCAGUGCCUCCUAAUCCAUUGAUGUCCCCAGUAAACAACGAAGCCGCCACUCUCAGCUCCCUCUCUGACAUCAGUCAGCUUCCCUGAGGAAAAGAUGUAUUAUUGAAUAAGUGAUGUGGGGACAACUGGGUAGCCAUGUGGGAAAAUGAAAAGCUAAAACCACAAUCUCACUUUAACUCAAAAUAAAUUCCAGAUGGGAAAGAGUUUCAAACAGAAAACAUAAAAUAAAAUUAUAAGAAACUA